AUGACCUUGAAGUUUGUUUUGUCCUUAACUUGAAUCAUUGCCUAAUAUACAAUAUAACAAGUAUCAAAUCUCGGAAAAAGUUAAUAAUAAAUAGAAAAAAAAAGAGAAAUAGAGAAAUAGAAAAGGAAGACACACACAAUGUUAUCCUUUAGGACGUUUAAUUCAUGGAUGAAGGAUUAUCUGACCAGGUUUUAUAGUUCAGGUGUCCCAAUUCCAUCCGGACCGGACUGCGUAUUAAUAAACGGACUUCAUUUUAGCAGUGCAUAGGUUUUACUGCUGUAAUAAGAAGCCUAGGGAUUACCAUAUAGAUUCUUAUCGUUGUCAACCCUUGGAGUCUUGUGUAAAACACCAUAUAUCAUAGUCUUUAUCAUUUGUUCAUUGCUCAAAUAAUUAUUUGACCAGAAAUGUCAUAUUAGUGUAUAGUUGGUGAAUAUUUAAUACACUGAAUUUAUUGUAACCUUAUCCUCAAUAUGUCGACUUUUCCUGUGGUAUGAAAAUCCGGUGAAAACCAUUGACCUUGGACAAACAAAAAAUUACAUAUUUUAAAAGUGCAACUAUAUAGGUCUGACAUUGAUACAAAAAUGAAUAACUAUGUCAAAACUUCAUAGAUUUUUAUCAAACUGUGGACUGAAGCUUCUUCAUAUUUCACAGAAGCAACCCGAGAUAAAUUUUGAUUUUAA